GAAAGCUGGGCUUUCUUUGUUUUGUUUGUGUGGGCAGGGCUGGGCCGUGAAUACGCCUGGUCUGCACUGUGAGGUCAGCUGCCCAGCGAGGUAACAGCUGGCACCUGUGUGCGAAAUGCAGCGUGCAUUAGCAGCAUCAUUACUUAGCAUUAGAGCAUUACAAAGAUAAUUAGAGAAGCAGAGGACAGAGGGAAUUGAAACCGCAGCCCCCUUGGCUUCUCAAACGCGCAGGUUACAAGUGUAAUUUCAAGGAUUUACAGGGCCACCUUGCACCGAGCAGGAAGGCUGUGACUUGAGGAGAACUCCAAGGAGACUGUAACUGUCGCCCAGUGCGGGGACCGGGCUCCUGUCCAGUCCUCAACUUGGCUCAAAAGUCAAAUUAAGGUCACAGAAGCCAAGGAAGCCUUGUCCAAAAUCAGUGAGGUGAAGUCCUGCCUAUGAUGAACAUCUUCUGGUGGCUUCUCAGCAUCCUUUGGGGGCUUCCGCUGCCUCCCUGACCUAUAGCCUGGCAGUGCCUGGGCCCGUGUGGUACGCACCUAUACCAUCAGUCCACAGGUCAUCUCUCCAAGGGUUUUUUUUUUUCUUUUCUUUUCUUUUGUUCGGAGCUGGGGACUGAACCCAGGGCCUUGCUCUUGCUAGGCAAGCGCUCUACCACUGAGCUAAAUCCCCAACCCCUCUCCAAGGGUUUGUUAUCUAUAGUCCUACUCACCACAGCUGACCUCGGGGUCAUGGCAUAUUUCCUUCCUUCACCUAUAAUACCAGUUUCCCAUCCCUUGGCUUAGAUGUCUCUAUUUCCCUCAAACCCUGUUCUCUUCUCUCAAGGCACCUCACAUUCUGUAAACUCACUUUAUCUUUUGUUUGUGGACUUGUUCACUUUGCCUCCUAGUCCAUAAUAACAAGGAGGGCGGGGGACAUCCUCCAUGUGGCUCCCACUGUAGCCUCAAUACCUGACAUUCUGAGGACAUUCAGUGUUUGUUGGAUUAAUACAUAAAUGCUCUCAGAGAUAGGAACUGAUAUUAUCCUCACUUAGUAAUGGAGGAAACCAAGGUUCAAGUUACUCAAGAGGACCUAGAAGAAGGUCAUAACUAUCUUAAAUUGUUACCAUUGGUUGAAACCAAAAACCAUAGGACAAACACAUGAUCCUGAAGAAAUGCUCAAAUCUGGACUCUAUGGAAGGGCAGGAAUGUGGUUCAGUGGUAAAGCACUGGACUAGCAAACACAAGGCCCUGGUUCUCUCAGUAGCAUUUAACAAGAAGGAGGAAGAAGAGGAGGAGGAGGAGGAAGAGGAAGAAGAGGAGGAGGAAGAGGAAGAGGAGGAAGAGGAGGAGGAGGAAAUUGACGAUGAAGAUGAUGACAUUGGUGAUGUAUUUGUUAAAGAAUGAACAUAUCCUCUGAAGAAGUUCAGUUGACAUCAAGGCAGUACUCCAGGUCUAUCAGACCGACCCAGCAGCACAUACAUUUACUCCAGCCACACUGGAACCAGUGGACAUACUUUUGUGUCUGCAGAUGCUGUGUUUACCCAUAGUGUCAGAGUUUAUAUUUUUGUUUGUUUGUUUUCUUUGAAAGUAUUUCUGAGCAUUGGAUCAUUCAAAUGGUUACACUUUUCUUCUGGGAAUAUAGCUCAGUGGUUGAACAUUUGACCCAUCAAGCACAAGACCAAGGGUUCAUUAAACAAUGAAACAAAUCAAAUAUCAGUUCUUUUUAAGCCGUGUGGACAGAAAGCAUGCAUUUGAUCAUUACUGCUCUUACCCUCAGAGCCAGGCAGACAAUGCCUUCCCAUAGAAGCCAUACACAGCCACAGACGAAAGACGCUGCUUGCCGCCUUCUGAAUCUUCACAUCACUUGUAAGCAGCAUUACAGAGGAGAAAUUGACACAAAGAAGGUUCCCUUUAAUCACCUGGUACCUUCAAAGCCCUGGGAGCGCUGAUGCCCAGAUGCUAAGCAGAUGACUUUGGGUCACAAGGAAUAUGCCUGUCGCUGGGCGUUAUCUUGAUGUAGCUUUCGCUCCUCAGCUAAACCUGUAGGUCCUCAUAGGGGAAACACAGGAGGCUUUCCAGUAAGAGCCUGGAGGUUUCAGAAGUAGCUUUCCCCGCAGCGAACUAAAACUUCUCAUUUCCUUCCGGCAGGAACCAGAGGAAAAUACAGGAAUUGAUUCAUGCAGAAUACAAGCCACCAACCCCAAGAGGGAGGGGCUUUCCUGAAA